GGAUUUGCAUGUUCAAUGCAGUGGAAACUUCCCUGAGCAAAUUUUAUCAAGAGAGAAGCACAAAAAUAUGAGAAUGUUCAGUUCGCUAAGAACAAAGUUAGGAAAAACAUUAGCCAUCCUCCAGAUUAAAAGUUGAAGUUAUUCUGAGAAAAAAAUACACACACAGGAUUGAAACUACUCCAGCAUUCUGGUGGGCCUCUUUUCCUGGUGGAGAUGUCUAAGAGAGAGGUCAGUGGUACAAACUAUAAUCCUCACAACUGAAGACUCAGGCCUGCGAGUGAUGGACUUCAUUAGACCUUGGAAAACAAUCUGAAUUUUUAAUGUUUUGCCUGGCAAUCAAAUGGUGAAUUAAAGUAUAUUGGGGCAAGUUACACUCUUAGGCUUUUUCUCCUCUGAUCUCUGAG
rnacentral:lncRNA from 1 species